CCUACGGGGGGCAGCAGUGGGGGAUAUUGCACAAUGGGGGAAACCCUGAUGCAGCGACGCCGCGUGGGUGAAGAAGCGCCUCGGCGCGUAAAGCCCUGUCAGCAGGGAAGAAAAUGACGGUACCUGAAGAAGAAGCCCCGGCUAACUACGUGCCAGCAGCCGCGGUAAUACGUCGGGGGCAAGCGUUAUCCGGAUUUACUGGGUGUAAAGGGGGCGCAGACGGCGAUGCAAGCCAGGAGUGAAAGCCCGGGGCCCAACCCCGGGACUGCUCUUGGAACUGCGUGGCUAGAGUGCAGGAGGGGCAGGCGGAAGUCCUGGUGUAGCGGUGAAAUGCGUAGAUAUCAGGAGGAACACCGGUGGCGAAGGCGGCCUGCUGGACUGCAACUGACGUUGAGGCCCGAAAGCGUGGGGAGCAAACAGGAUUAGAUACCCCAGUAGUC
rnacentral:rRNA from 1 species